rnacentral:rRNA from 1 species
CGAGAAAGCCCGCAAGGGUGAGUACAGCGGCGAACGGGUGCGUAACACGUGGGUAAUCUGCCCUGAAGUCCGGAAUAACUCGCCGAAAGGCGUGCUAAUGCCGGAUGAGACCACGGGAGCCUCGGCUCCUGCGGGAAAAGGUGGCCUCUGUAUACAAGCUAUCGCUUCAGGAUGAGCCCGCGGCCCAUCAGCUCGUUGGCGGGGUAAUGGCCCACCAAGGCUACGACGGGUAGCUGGUCUGAGAGGACGAUCAGCCACACUGGAACUGAGACACGGUCCAGACUCCUCCGGGAGGCAGCAGUGGGGAAUCUUGCGCAAUGGGCGAAAGCCUGACGCAGCAACGCCGCGUGUGUGAUGAAGGUCUUCGGAUCGUAAAGCACUGUCGCGAGGGACG